AUUGAACGCUGGCGGAAUGCUUUACACAUGCAAGUCUAACGGCAGCACGGACUUCGGUCUGGUGGCGAGUGGCGAACGGGUGAGUAAUGUAUCGGAACGUGCCCAGUAGUGGGGGAUAACGUAGUGAAAAUUACGCUAAUACCGCAUACGAUCUAUGGAUGAAAGCGGGGGAUCGCAAGACCUCGCGCGAUUGGAGCGGCCGAUAUCAGAUUAGGUAGUUGGUGGGGUAAAGGCCCACCAAGCCAACGAUCUGUAGCUGGUCCGAGAGGACGACCAGCCACACUGGAACUGAGACACGGUCCAGACUCCUACGGGAGGCAGCAGUGGGGAAUUUUGGACAAUGGGCGAAAGCCUGAUCCAGCCAUUCCGCGUGCAGGUUGAAGGCCCUCGGGUUGUAAACUGCUUUUGUACAGAACGAAAAGGUUUCUACUAAUACUAGGAGCUCAUGACGGUACUGUAAGAAUAAGCACCGGCUAACUACGUGCCAGCCGCCGCAGUAA
rnacentral:rRNA from 1 species